AAUAGAUACCCCGGUAGUCCACGCCGUAAACGAUGAGUGCUAAGUGUUAGAGGGUUUCCGCCCUUUAGUGCUGCAGCAAACGCAUUAAGCACUCCGCCUGGGGAGUACGGCCGCAAGGCUGAAACUCAAAGGAAUUGACGGGGGGCCCGCACAAGCGGUGGAGCAUGUGGUUUAAUUCGAAGCAACGCGAAGAACCUUACCAGGUCUUGACAUCCUCUGACACUCCUAGAGAUAGGACGUUCCCCUUCGGGGGGACAGAGUGACAGGUGGUGCAUGGUUGUCGUCAGCUCGUGUCGUGAGAUGUUGGGUUAAGUCCCGCAACGAGCGCAACCCUUGAUCUUAGUUGCCAGCAUUAAGUUGGGCACUCUAAGGUGACUGCCGGUGACAAACCGGAGGAAGGUGGGGAUGACGUCAAAUCAUCAUGCCCCUUAUGACCUGGGCUACACACGUGCUACAAUGGAUGGUACAAAGGGCAGCAAAACCGCGAGGUCGAGCAAAUCCCANAAAACCAUUCUCAGUUCGGAUUGUAGGCUGCUAAC
rnacentral:rRNA from 1 species